GAUGAACGCUGGCGGCGUGCCUAAUACAUGCAAGUCGAGCGAACAGACGAGGAGCUUGCUCCUCUGACGUUAGCGGCGGACGGGUGAGUAACACGUGGAUAACCUACCUAUAAGACUGGGAUAACUUCGGGAAACCGGAGCUAAUACCGGAUAAUAUAUUGAACCGCAUGGUUCAAUAGUGAAAGACGGUUUUGCUGUCACUUAUAGAUGGAUCCGCGCCGCAUUAGCUAGUUGGUAAGGUAACGGCUUACCAAGGCAACGAUGCGUAGCCGACCUGAGAGGGUGAUCAGCCACACUGGAACUGAGACACGGUCCAGACUCCUACGGGAGGCAGCAGUAGGGAAUCUUCCGCAAUGGGCGAAAGCCUGACGGAGCAACGCCGCGUGAGUGAUGAAGGUCUUCGGAUCGUAAAAUUCUGUUAUUAGGGAAGAACAAAUGUGUAAGUAACUAUGCACGUCUUGACGGUACCUAAUCAGAAAGCCACGGCUAACUACGUG
rnacentral:rRNA from 1 species